rnacentral:lncRNA from 1 species
UGAAUGUUCCUAAACCAAUCAAAAUCUUAUACAUGUACAUGUAAACAUGCACUUGUAUAAUAUCAACUUCUAUAUGACACAGGUCACAUGUUUAGUGAGGGGCUUUUAGUGAGUGGACAAAGUAGUCUAACUAAUGUAUCACUAGCUUGUCACACUGAGGUGGUCAGUUGUAAUGUCACAUGUUUAGUGAGGGGCUUUUAGUGAGGGGUCAAAGUAGUCUAACUACUGUAUCACUAGCUUGUCACACUGAGGUUGUCAUUUCUAAUGUCACAUGUAACUAAUGUAUCACUAGCCUGUCACACUGAGGUUGUCAGUUCCAAUGUCACAUGUGGCAGCUGAGAUCAACUUAAUUCUUUAAAUAAUUGACAAGGAUUGUCAAGGUCAACAGUUUUUACCUUACAAUUUGGCUUCCUACACUAAUAAAAAAUGCCCACCUAAAAAUUGCACAUGUGCUUAAAAAGGCAUUAAACACCACAAUCAAUGAAUGGUAAAAUGCAUAAGUGGGGAUCAAUUUUAAUCUUUUCAUUAUGUCGAUGGAAAGAGAGUGUUAAAUUGUAUUCAGCAAAUUACUGUGGAUUCAUUAUUAUUUGCUGGAUACCAAUUAUCGUGGGUACAGGUGAAACACAAAUUUAAUGUCAAGGAAAUACAAAUUUCUAUAAAAGUUGAUCAAGACUUUGGAAGAACCCUGAAAUUGCAUAUCCACGAAAAUGCAAGAUUUCCACAAUCCACAGAAAUUGGUACCCACAAAAAUAAAUGAAUCCAUAGAAUUUUGUUUUGUGCAAAGCAAUAAAGAUACAGAAAAAUGGGUAUGAGACAUGUAGAAAAAGAAUAUAGCCUUAGAACCAACAUAAUACAAAGUGGAAUUUUAUGUUGUUAUUUUGUAAAGGAGUAGGUCCGGUAAGACCCCUUUUUGUCCCCAAAAUAUAGCAGUUUUACAAAAUUGUUAAAAUGUAAACUUUUAAAUAUACAGGGGACAGUAGAAUGCUUCUGCUACAUAAAUAUUGGUUGUUUUUGGCAAUACAAUGCACAUAUAUAUCGAGUACUA